CAACAUCCGGCUCUCGUUUGAUGAAGGCCAUGCCUGGAUGCCUGCUCUUGUGGCGCUUCGGGACGGAGGCCCGAUUCCCGCCC
rnacentral:sRNA from 14 species